UGCUGUGCUCUACUCCAGCCCCAAGCCCUGUGGGAUUGUCCAGCCUCACAGCACUGCAGAGAUCCCAGUGCUGGUGGAAGUGCAGGCGCUGGGCACGCAUCGCACCAAUGUUCUCAUCGGCGUGUUCGGGGAUGAGAGAAACCCACUGAGAAAAAAGUUAUGGAGCUCUGGACGGCUGGCAGAAACCUCCCCAAGCCCAAGGCUGAUGGAGUCUGGCAGGAUCCCAGCACUACAGCCGAUAGAUGAGCUUCACCCACCUAAAUUCAAUCCCCAACCACCAAAGGAGAUGAGAACAUGUUUGGAUUGCCCAGCGUCUCGAUGGAGGCACUUCAAGGCUGGAAAGCAGGAGGCAGCCACAGCCCUGACUGAAGAGCAGGAUUUGACCCAGUCUU